CUGAUGAUGUGCUCCUGACUCUUAUGGGCCCUGAAGGCUCGUUGCCAAAGCUGUUCUCAUUAGUAGAAAAAUUUGGCAAACUAUCCGGCUAUAAAGCUAAUAUUAAAAAAACACAAAUUCUGACAAUGGGCCUAAAUGGACCUAGCUUGGAUCUUUUUAAGGAGAAUUUCAAGCUAGAGGUGUUAGGUUUAACCUUAGAUCUCAC